rnacentral:rRNA from 1 species
AUACGUAGGGGGCGAGCGUUGUCCGGAAUGAUUGGGCGUAAAGGGCGCGUAGGCGGCCCGGUAAGUCUGGAGUGAAAGUCCUGCUUUUAAGGUGGGAAUUGCUUUGGAUACUGUCGGGCUUGAGUGCAGGAGAGGUAAGUGGAAUUCCCAGUGUAGCGGUGAAAUGCGUAGAGAUUGGGAGGAACACCAGUGGCGAAGGCGACUUACUGGACUGUAACUGACGCUGAGGCGCGAAAGUGUGGGGAGCAAACAGGAUUAGAUACCCUGGUAGUCCACACUGUAAACGAUGAAUGCUAGGUGUAGGGGGUAUCGACCCCUUCUGUGCCGCAGUUAACACAAUAAGUAUUCCGCCUGGGGAGUACGGCCGCAAGGUUGAAACUCAAAGGAAUUGACGGGG